rnacentral:lncRNA from 1 species
AUGGGAGGAAGUGGGGAGGGAUGGGGGAAGAUGAGGGAGACAGGGUGCAGGGGACAGCAGAAUGGAGGGACAGUCAAUAAGGAUGGGGGUGACGGAGCAGGGCUAGCAGGAGUAUGUGAUAGAGGACCUCUGUCGACUCCGCGGCUCAGCGCCUCACGGCCCAAGACUCCCGUCACUCCCGUCAGCGUCACCUCCGCCGCUGCCACCGUGGUCCAGCGCUUGCUUGGGCAGCCCGUACAAAUGCGUCUGCGCAGGGAGCAGCCCCGGAGAAGCCAGUUCAGACCAAUCCCAGAAUCCUCCACACGCUGUCAAGGUCUCGUGGGGAAGGCUGGGAAAUGUAGUCCGGAGGGCUUUGCCGCAGAAGAACGAGCCUUUGGCGGCCGGGGCUGCGGUGUCGGACCGAACUGGAUAACCUUGGAGGUCCCGCGGGCUGUAAAUCUAGGGUACUGCGUCCCUUGUAUCUACUCAGCCAGGCAUCUCCAGCAGCCCAGAGGACAUCGCCAUCUGCAUUGUUCCCAGCAGGGGCAGACCCAAAGCAAAUCCAUCAUUAAUGUGCCAGUCUGUAGCGGGGGCUCUAGUGGAGGGACCCAGGAGUCUGUGCCCCCGACCGAGAAAGUUCAGAAGGCUGUGGCUGAUACUCUAGAUUUCAGUCCAAUGAUCUCCCUUCAAGUUGUACCUAACUUGUCUGCCAGCAAUAAGGAACAAGUAGCCUAUAUGGUGGUCCAAAGGAAAAAAAGAGGGUUUGGGGAGGGAACAGGGCUUCUGUCAUUCAAAUUCCUAAUUUUGACACCUGAAUAUUAAAGCAGUAAGUCUUAAAGAAACGUUCUUCAUGUUCACUCCAUACUCAGAUGGGCCAAAAGAAGAGCUGGUCUCCUGUGUGAAGCUUCUGUGUUUGACCAGUCCUGCUGGUCUACUAAAACAUUACCACACUUGUGGCAUUUAUAGGGCUUCUCUCCAGUCUGAAUCCUCUGAUGUCCAGUAAGGUAGGUUCUCCUACUGAAGGAUUUCCCACAUUCACUACAAGAAUAGGGUUUCAUUCCAGUGUGAAUUCUCUGGUGUCCAAUAAGGUAUUCCCUUUGACUGGAAGUUUUCCCACAUUCAAUACAUAAAUAAGGUUUCUCUCCAGUAUGCACUCUGUGAUGUUGAAUAAGAAAGAAGCUAGAGCUGAAGGAUUUCCCACACUCCCUGCAUUCACAGUGUUUCUCUCCAGUGUGCCGUCCCUUGUGUUGGGCAAGGUUUGUUUUAUCGACAAAUGCUUUCCCACAUUCAUCACAGUUUUAUGAUUUCUCUCCAGUAUGAGUUUUUAGAUGACAAUAAAGGAACGUGUUGCGAUGGAAGCCUUUCCCA